AAAUCGCCGACAUGCAUGAAUGAAUGACAUUUUUGCAAUUUUACACAUUAUAAUCCACGAUGAUCAUGUUACACAAAACUGAAAUUGCACGUCAAAAUGACACAUUGGCAAUAUUUUUGGAGACCCCCCAAGAUUUUCAGGGGAGCCCAUGUCUUAUUAAGGGGAGCCGAGCUCCCCCUAGCUCCCCCCUAGUUCGCGCCCUGUU